rnacentral:rRNA from 1 species
GCAUCAUGAGUCCACAUGUUCACAUGAUUAAAGGUAUUCCGGUAGACGAGGGGGAUGCGUUCCAUUAGAUAGUAGGCGGGCCAACGGCCCACCAAGUCUUCGAGGGAUAGGGGUUCUGAGAGGAAGGUCCCCCACAUGGGAACUGAGACACGGUCCAAACUCCUACGGGAGGCAGCAGGGAGGAAUAUGGGUCAAUGGGCGAGAGCCUGAACCAGCCAAGUAGCGUGAAGGAUGACUGCCGGAUGGGUUGUAAACUUCUUUUAUAAAGGAAUAAAGUCGGGUAUGCAUACCCGUUUGCAUGUACUUUAUGAAUAAGGAUCGGCUAACUCCGUGCCAGCAGCCGCGGUAAUACGGAGGAUCCGAGCGUUAUCCGGAUUUAUUGGGUUUAAAGGGAGCGUAGAUGGAUGUUUAAGUCAGGUGUGAAAGUUUGCGGCUCAACCGUAAAAUUGCAGAUGAUACUGGAUAUCUUGAGUGCAGUUGAGGCAGGCGGAAUUCGUGGUGUAGCGGUGAAAUGUUUAGAUAUCACGAAGAACUCCGAUUGCGAAGGCAGCCUGCUAAGCUGCAACUGACAUUGAGGCUCGAAAGUGUGGGUAUCAAACAGGAUUAGAUACCCUGGUAGUCCACACGGUAAACGAUGAAUACUCGCUGCUUGCGAUAUACUGCAAGCGGCCAAGCGAAAGCGUUAAGUAUUCCACCUGGGGAGUACGCCGGCAACGGUGAAACUCAAAGGAAUUGACGGGGGCCCGCACAAGCGGAGGAACAUGUGGUUUAAUUCGAUGAUACGCGAGGAACCUUACCCGGGCUUAAAUUGCAGAUGAAUUACGGUGAAAGCCGUAAGCCGCAAGGCAUCUGUGAAGGUGCUGCAUGGUUGUCGUCAGCUCGUGCCGUGAGGUGUCGGCUUAAGUGCCAUAACGAGCGCAACCCUUGUUGUCAGUUACUAACAGGUUCCGCUGAGGACUCUGACAAGACUGCCAUCGUAAGAUGUGAGGAAGGUGGGGAUGACGUCAAAUCAGCACGGCCCUUACGUCCGGGGCUACACACGUGUUACAAUGGGGGGUACAGAGGGCCGCUACCACGCGAGUGGAUGCCAAUCCCAAAAACCUCUCUCAGUUCGGACUGGAGUCUGCAACCCGACUCCACGAAGCUGGAUUCGCUAGUAAUCGCGCAUCAGCCACGGCGCGGUGAAUACGUUCCCGGGCCUUGUACACACCGCCCGUCAAGCCAUGGGAGCCGGGGGUACCUGAAGUGCGUAAAAGGGAGGAGCGCCCUAGGGUAAAACUGGUGACUGGGGCUA